AAUGAUAAACUCCUGGAGUGAAGCCUUAGCCAGAUUCAGCCUAAUUUGUAUGUGAUCAAGUGCUUGUGGGUCAUCUGAGUGGCAAGAAGCCCCCAGCUUUCAGGACAAAUCUUUGUUCAUCUAAUCUCUGAUGUGCCUCUUCAGAGGAAGGGACAGCUGGGCCCAGGUCUUAGCUUGGCUAAGCUAUCUAAUCUUGCAUCCCUGGAACAACCUGAAGCCUUCACCUCCCAGGAGAAGGAGUCUCAAGGAGAGAAACAAGUAACCUCAUGAAACUCUAAGUAGAAAAAGACCUGACCAGAAGACAAGUCCCAGAGGAAUCACCAGUUCCCCAAACUCCAAAAGGUAGUAUGCGUGUCCAGAAAUGACAGUCGUGGCUCAGGUCCACUGCACUAUAGGAGUGUUGGAGGAUACUGUCAGCAUUCCUCCGAAACCCAUGACAGGGUUUCUGUCCACCAGAAAGAGGUAAUUACCUAUCUCCCCUUCCACUGGACAAUCAGGUAUCUGGAUCUUGGUUGACAUGUAACUAUGGUGCAAACCAAAGCCCAUGCUAGCUCCAGGAUCUUUUAGUCCCUAUUCACACAUACUUGUUUUGCAUUUCAAAGUGAAUGCCAGCCUCCUCUGGCCCUUCUCACCCACCCCCUCUCUCCACUGGCUACCUUCCAGGCUGUUGCAGUUCACAAGCUUCUCUUUUCCCUGUGACUGUCCUGUAUAGGAGGGCAAAGUUGUCCCCUAACCCAAGCCCAAGUGUGUGUCCCACUAUUCUCUCCUGCUCUUCUCCACUAUUCCUGCUUGUUUAGCCUUGGCCAUGUCCAGUCUGCUUCUGUUUCUCUCUGUUCUGGACUUAUCCAGGUACCUCUGGUCUCUGUCUGCCUCUCUCUGUCUCUCUUUCUCUCCUACAAUAAAAACCUACCCCUACUCAUGGAGCAGUCAUUUCAAUGGUUUCUCUACUGUGUCCUUAGUUACAGCAAAAUAGUAGUGAUCAAGGAUAGAGACUGCAGGUGGGUCACAUGUCCUGGCUUGAUUUUUCCUUGGAAGUAUGAGAUGUUUCCUCUGAAUGUCAGUUUCUUCAUACAUAAAAAUGGGAAUGGCCAUAAUUACCUUCAAAAAUGUGGCAUCUGGUGCAUAUAGAAUGAGCUGUGUAGAGAUGUGUGAAUGAGAAGUUAGCUAUAUAAGCUAAUAAGUAGAAAGAGGAGUAUUAGAGAUCUGUGCCCAGCUGCUUCACUUUGUGAAAAGCAGUGCAGUGGCAUCCCUGAAUCCUGGAAUGGAAGUGCUUCUGAUUCUAGCCUGGUAAGGAAGGGUUCCCUAGCCCUCACUUGGGUGGCAGGAGCAUGGUGCUAGUGGAGUUGAACUGCUCUGCUUGAUUUGUCUCUGGCCCUUUAAGCACAGCCUGCCCCAUUCAUGUAGGUCCGUUGAGCCAUAAAGAAGGGCUAUAAACAGGAGCUGUUCUACUUCCUUCUCCUGGCAUCUACUCAGGUUUUAUUUACCUUCCUCUCGCUCCAAAAACCAGGCCAGAGAUUGAUCUCCUGCAGCUCCUCCUGGUGGUGUUAUUAAUUAAAAAGAAGAAGCAGGAGGCAACCAAUAUUCUCUGUGAGAGAUUUAUUAGGAGGGUAUGAAGGAAGGAGGUAGUAGGACAUAGUGGGGAGAGAGAAAGAAAAGGGAAGGGCAAGGGGGUGCCCGAGAGAGAGAAAAAAAAGAAAGUAAGAGAGAGAAAAUAAGAGAGGGACCACGUGUCGGUAUCGGCCGUUUUAAAAGGCACGAUAACCACGCCUAGCUGGCGACACAUGAUGACCACAUAGAUUGCUGGUUAACCCAGGAGCAGGUUGUGUUCCAAAAUACUAAGAGGUGGACCUCAGGUUCCUCUAAAACACCUUUACUUCUGGAAGCUUCCCUAGCUCCAUAACCUUACUGCAGAGGCCCAUUCCCUACUAGUCCCCUCUUCGACUAAGAUGAGCAGCCAGACAAAGAGAAUCAGAGCAAUUCAGAGGAGGGAGAGGUUCCAGCAAGGGGUUGCAGGAAGCUCCUGGAGAGACAGGUCCAAUCUUUCAGGUCAGAUCUAUAGGUAUAAACAGUCUUGUGGAGUCUUAGAGCUUAAAGCAGGCAUUACAAAUUAUGGUUGAAGGCCAAAUGCAGCUUCCUAUUUAUGUGAAAAUUUUUGCUGGAAUGUAGACUAGCCAGUGGUUUGUAUAUGCUCUCUGGCUAGAGGUGGAGCUGAGUGGUAACCCCAGAAGCUUCUGAGUUUCCUAAUCUAAGAUAUUUGCUGUGUGGCUCUUGGAGGAAAAGGUGGCCAUGUCUUGGUUGCUCUAAGGAAUGAUUUAAGGAGAUCCACUUAAAGAAGAUUGAUUUGCCAAGCCCAGAGCAUACCAUGUUUCUACUCUCAGUUACUCACUGUUUUCCUUUGGCUAGUGAAUACUUUGAGAACAUCAGAAGAAGAAUAUACGAAUCUGUUGAUUAACCUAGAAUUUCCCAAACAUCUUUGAGCUACAACUUAAUUUUCUCUGACUACCUUUUAAUAUCCCAAGAAGCUAUGGAAAUUAUUAUUAUUAUUAUUAUCAUUAUCAUUAUUCCUUGUAAAGACCAAUUGGUUUGGCAGACCAUCCAAUAAACUAUCAAUAAACUAAGUGGUCUUGGCUGAAUUAUGUACUUGUCAAGAACUGCUUGUUCAUUGAUGGAAUGAGGGCAGUAGUGGCUCUCUUACUGGUUUCUCAGACAGGCUGAGAUAGUAAGCAGAAAAUAGUCUGGAUGGUUGUGGUGUGAUGCAUUUUGUCAAGCUUUUCUUUGCUAACGCAGUGGUGAUAUGGAAAGAUACUAGGCCAAGGUUAUGUUCUCUCUAGUCUUCAUGCUGCUUUUACUAGUUUGGUUACUGAGUGACUUCAAACAAGUGACUUCUUUUACUGGGCCUCAGAUUCCUUCUAUAUUAGUGGUGCUCAACCUUCUCUUAAUGCUGAGACCCUUUAAUACAGUUCCUCAUGUAGUGAUGACUCCUGAAACAUAAAAUUAUUUUCAUUGCUACUUCUUAAUUGUAAUUUUGCUACUGUUAUGAAUUAUAAUGUAAAUAUCUGAUAUGAAUGAUAUCUGAUGUAAGACCCUUAUGAAAGUAUCAUUUGACAGCCCCAAAGGGGUCAUGACCCACAGGUUGAGAGCGAGUGUUCUAGAUUAAGUAUCUGUAGCUCUGAACUUCUGUGUUUCCACCUGGGUAGAUGCAUUCAACCUUCCCACUUAUCUAAGACAAGUCUCUCAUGAGCCCCGAGGAUAUCGCUCUUGGUUUUCUUGGUAAAGCAUCUGGGCUCAUGAUCAGAUAUGAAGAGGUAUUUCUAAGGGACUUUGAUGCUACUGACAGCUUAGAAGGCAAGACCAAGCCUUCCUCCGGAAUGUCAAUGUUACAGCUCUUAAAUGGUGUUGAGACUUUUCCUUCCCUGCAUCUUCUGUUGCUCAGUGCAUUUACUGCCCAACUACAAAAAAUAGACCACUUGCUAACACAUCUGGCAAAAAAAAAAAAAAAAAAAAAAAAAAAAAAAAGAACAGAUGUAAUUCCUUAAAAGAUGGUAGGGUCAAAAGUGAGCAAGAUUUCCCCAACAGGUAUGCUUUUUAUACAGAAUCCACAUAAAAUUCCUUUCAUUUGGCCCCCUCUCUUUUUCUUUCCAAAACUAUUUCCAGCCUUGUCCACAACCUUUGAUAUCAAAGAUUUAUAAGCAGUGGAACAAGAGGAGAUGAAUAAUGAAAAGUAAUGAAAAGUACCCCUUUCUUUCACUAUUUUGGAAAAUCCCAGAAAAUCUUGACCAGGCCAAAAGACCUACAGUAUCAUGAGGACAGGGUCAAAUGGGGGAGAUAUGACUUGAGGAGGAGUGUUCUUUCCUCCUGUCUCACAUAGAAACUAUCCACUGACAUGGUUAUCUAGUGAACUCUCAAACAAAAGGGAUGGGGCCUUGGCAGUCAGACCUCUUGCCCAGGUGGACUCCAGUGUCCACUAAGUUCAUGCCAUCCCCAGCUAAACAGUCAUGGGUGUUUAAUUUGCUGGAAUCCCACUGGAGGUGUAAAGAAACGGAUAAAGCAUAGUUACUGUCCUUAAGGAAUUAUGGUUGUGCUUGCUCAGGUGAGCAUGUAUGUGAGAAUGCUGUUGUGUGUAAGCCGCAGCCUUAGUACUAACAACCAUAGGGAAGGAGGGGUGCCCAGAGAGGCGGCAGUGACAGCAUGGAGUGUCUCAUUUUCUGUAUCCACCCCCAGCCCUGAAAGAAAAACUUGUAAGAGGCAGCAGACUAGGCAGCUGAAAGACAGCUAGACCACAAGCCCUUUCUUGAAGCUUUCUUUGAGUCAUUGUGCUAUCACCUCUGGCUGAAGAGAAUGCCUGACAGCUGAGGCCUAAGUUGAAAGGCGUCUCCAUCACCAGGUGGAAGCUGAACUCAGUAGCUAAUCUUCACGUGGGUGAAGGAGAAUAAGAAAAGGAUGAAGAAGCCAUGGUGCUAUUUGGUGUUGGUCAUCCUUCCAUGGUGACUGAGCCAUUUCUCUGUCCAUCCUUAGGGUCCUUGGUCCUUCUCCAGGACGGUCAGGCUGGCUUGGGUAGGAGGAAGAUCAUCCUGACACAAGGUCUUUCCCACCUCAGGGAGCUUGUCUGGUAGAAAAUGUGUCAUUUGAAUAAGAGUGAUCCUUGGUACCCUUUCUGCCUCCUGAGCUGCAGAGACACAUAAAAAGUGAUGAGUAUUCUGGGGUGGACAUACUCAUUUGCCCUCUUAAGAACCUGAGGCAAAUCUCUGAGAAUUUCCCAAGACAGAAGUCUAGUACCUGGGCCCUUAGAACAAUAAUGAUUGAUCCAGAUGAUUUGAUCCCUGGCCCUGAGAACCCUGGCCUCUCCCAACGGCUCCCAGAAAGCCUUAAUCUCUUUUUACCAAGACUGUACCCCAUGGAGCACUAAUAUGGGGGGAGAUCUGCAUCCCUAGGAUGUUACUAUGAGAAUAAGGAAGGCUGUGCAUGAAGCAUUUGACCCCAGGGCUUAUCUGUUAUUCUGUGCCAGGGUUGCCAGUGUGGUUCUAUGCUUAUGGUUAGUAGUUCUUCUCAUCCUCCAAAUACUCUUAAGCUGGCAGAUGCCUCUAAGGCAAAAAGUGUAGCGAGAGUUUUAAGAAGCCACAAGCAAGCACAGUUAAAGGAUUCAGAAUAGAAUUUACUUUUUCUACACCCCAAAGUGGGUCCACUAAUCUAACCUGACUCAGCCCUGGGGUUAUCAGGUGGAAAGACCCAUUCUUUUUCCUAGAUUUGGGGUAACUUAAGCUCAACUCACAGGUCCUUUCUCUCCAGAGUCUCCUUUUCAAUAGGACCAGAGCUGCAAGCAGAACCAGGGCCAGCACAGUCAAGAUUGGAGUCAGAAUCCAGGAGUUGCUUUCUUCUUCUGUAAAGACACUGUGUGGAGUGGGAAGUUGAGGAUGAACUGAGCACAGGAUCAGGGAGGCUUGCGCAUUCCUUAUUUGGCUACCCAGGAGACUGUGCUACUAUUCAACAAAGGAAUAAAGAAGGUUCCAAUUGCAGCAGAUAAGUAGACAGGAACAUCCAAUGGAAUUUAUGUGCUCACCAGAUAGAUCUAUUCUGAGUAGGUAUUCUGCAGGGCAGCCUUUCUGGAAUGUGUGUGUGUGCGCACACACACACACACACACACACACACACACACACACACGCUCCACCUCCAUGCCUGAGUCCAGAGCCUUGGAGCUGCCAGGUGUCUGCAGAGACCCUCAGCACAGGACUGCUGUAGAAAAGCCUACCGCCAGACCUUUUGUCCUCCCGUGGAGCACUAGGCAGUGCUGCCUUCUUGCAUGACUGGACACCUAGUUGUUUGGAAUCACAGAAUUCAUAUUGUCUAGCUCAUGGCAUUUUUGAAACUUAGCUCAAAAAAACAUUCUGCAGCAUUCAGGGUAGAAAGGACCAGCUGGGAGACCUUAUGUAUAUUUUGUUGGACACUUUUCCCCUAGUUAUCUAUCUGCCUUUUUAAAGACGACCUCUACCUAACCCAAAAGUCUACUUCCUGGACCUUUCUCCUAUUUCCCCUUUUAUUGCCUAAGGCUUAAGGCUUCCUUGGGCUUUUGAGCCUUCUCUGGUCCCCAUUCCUUUUGAACUUUGGCUCCCCAGCCAUCCAUCAGCUCCUACCUGUGGACACAAUCAGGUUCAUACUGAAGAAUAGCAUGUCGUUCCGGUCUCCUACGCCGCAGCGAUAAAGCCCCAUGUCAUCUAGGGACAGACGGGACAGCCUCACCAUGAACAAAGCACUCUGUGGAAAGUCAGUGAGAGCCACGCGCCCGCGGUAGUCAUGGUGAGUGUAGUGGUUCGUGGACACGAUGGUGCUGCAGGCCCACAGAGGAGGCCUCAGGCGGCACCAGUAUUUCCUUUGAUGCCUGUUAACUGAGGAGGGCGCAUAAUGGCAAUGGAUGGUGACAGCUCCUCCUUUCUCCCCAGGCACCAGCCUUGGGCCUUUCAAUGCAUUUGCAUCUGUGGGCAGAGAAAAUUGUCAAAGGAGAGGAGCAGUGAGUAUAGGUGCUAUUAGGGAGUUAGUUAUGAACUGCUUGUCAGAAAAUGCAGCUCUGAAGGUGGCCUGUAGAACUGACUCAGCAUAGCCACCAAGGAAGCAGACCUUGCCUCUCGAGGAAGGGAGCUGAAUUCAGGUCUCAUUGAAAGACUCUUACCCAGUAUUUGGCUAACACUUACAUGUUAGGGGUUUUCAUGAAAGUCUGUGCAGAGCCCACACUCCUUCCACUAAGCUCCAUCUACAUGAUUGGAGGCAGGAAGAAAAAACUCCAAAUAGGAGGCUUUGGCUGUACUGCAAGGAAAUGAGAAGUGCUGUCUAGUGUGGAUGUACCAUGUGCUUUCCUCUGAAGAGAAGAAGCCUAUUCUGUUCUGUUUGGUUGUUGCAUCUUCCAGAUCAAUGGCUGACAUUUUCCUACACUAGCCACUUCUCUAAAGAACAGAACACUGAGCAUACAUGAACACAGCAAAAUGAGAAGCCUUUCUUACAGAUGGGAAUUUCAGCCAGAAGCCACCAAAAAGAUAUGUGGGAAGGAAGGCAGGGGUGGGAGGUGGGUGGGUGCUACUUUGGAAUUAGCUGUGCACAGAAACACUGUCUUAUGCACCACCAUCCCCUUUUCCAUGCCAGUCGUGGAAUGCUCCCAGGUCUCAGCUCUGAGCCUCAGAAGAAAGUAAAACAAGAGACUCAAACUGAACAUCUCCUCCAUGACAGUCUCCAAGGCUAGAUUAGAGGAGGCUCUGUGUGCCAAGAGAGACAAUGAAAUCCACUAUAUACAAGAUUAUGCCUGGAAUCUCAUUAAGAAGCAGAGAUAGUGUGAAAGGAGAAGGAAAUAAUUAACUGUUCUGCUUAUACCUUACCAAAUUAAAGUCUUCCUCAUGCUGGC